rnacentral:rRNA from 1 species
AUUGAACGCUGGCGGCAGGCCUAACACAUGCAAGUCGAACGAGUGGCGGACGGGUGAGUAAUGUCUGGGAAACUGCCUGAUGGAGGGGGAUAACUACUGGAAACGGUAGCUAAUACCGCAUACCCUCAGAUGUGCCCAGAUGGGAUUAGCUAGUUGGUGGGGUAACGGCUCCCAAAGGCGACGAUCCCUAGCUGGUGUGAGAGGAUGACCAGCCACCCUGGAACUGAGACACGGUCCAGACUCCUACGUGAGGCAUCAGUGGGGAAUAUUGCACAAUGGGCGCAAGCCUGAUGCAGUCAUGCCGCGUGUGUGAAUAAGGCCUUCGGGGUGUAAAGCACUUUCAGCGAGGAGGCGUUACUCGCAGAAGAAGCACCGGCUAACUCCGUGCCAGCAGCCGCGGUAAUAC